rnacentral:rRNA from 1 species
UACGUAGGGGGCUAGCGUUGUCCGGAUUUAUUGGGCGUAAAGAGCGUGUAGGCGGCCAGGUAGGUCUGCUGUGAAAACUCGAGGCUUAACCUCGAGAUGUCGGCGGAAACCAUCUGGCUAGAGUCCGGAAGAGGAGAGUGGAAUUCCGUGGUGUAGCGGUAGAAAUGCGCAGAUAUCAGGAAGAACACCCGUGGCGAAGGCGGCUCUCUGGGACGGUACUGACGCUGAGACGCGAAAGCGUGGGGAGCGAACAGG